rnacentral:tRNA from 1 species
GUUGGUCAAGCGGUUAAGACACCGCCCUUUCACGGCGGUAACACGGGUUCGAAUCCCGCACGCAGGU